rnacentral:rRNA from 1 species
GUAUUAGAGGUGUUGCCUGCCCAGUGAAGCAAUUUCAACGGCCGCGGUAUCCUAACCGUGCAAAGGUAGCGUAAUCACUUGUCUUUUAAAUAAAGACUCGUAUGAAAGGCUAAAUGAGGACGAAACUGUCUCUUAUAGCCAACCAGUUAAACUGAUCUCCAAGUACAAAAGCUUGGAUAAACACAUAAGACGAGAAGACCCUGUGGAGCUUUAAACUCACACUAUACUAAUAAUAGUAGAAGUUUUAAGUUGGGGCGACUUCGGAACAAAACAAAACUUCCGAGCACAGAACCACCACUUCUAACCUAGACCAACAAGUCAAAGAACAACAAUGACCCAGUCAUACUGAAUAACGAACCAAGUUACCCCAGGGAUAACAGCGCCAUCUUCUUCAAGAGUCCAUAUCGACAAGAAGGUUUACGACCUCGAUGUUGGAUCAGGACACCCAAAUGGUGC